GGAACUCUGUCAUAUCCCGUGUAAUAUGUCAAAACUAUUUGAUGGAUUUCUUAUCAUGGUGGAGUGGAUUACUGUUUGAUUUUGGGGUAGGCUGUCAACAGCGUGUACUGUGUGACACUAUCUGUUUUCUAAUGAUGUCAACAAUGCGUCUGGCAUAGAAUCAGGAACUAGAAUAGUAAUUUAAGAGGAUCUCUAUGGCGUAUAGACAUAUUUGAUGUCAUGAUUAUGAUGUCUUUAUGCCAUGGGUAAUGUCCAUAUUCACUUCAGUUCAUUGUGUCUGCGGAAGGUUCACAGACGGGUUUUCAACCGAGCUACAUUAUCAGAGACGCAAAGCGGGUGUCUUAACGGCUCACACAUCAUGGCUGACGACAACCAGAUACGGUUAAUUUAAGCCUACAUUUUUAAGUUUAAAAGAGAAAUCAAUAAGUCGAUUUUGAAUUUUCCUAAUUGCAUGUUGUUCAAACGGCAGUUCUUCCUUAAGGACAAAUGUGAUUGAUAUUAGGGCGGAAGUAUGAUUUGAAGUUUCAGCAAGUAAUUCCAACUGGGUAAUUGUUGUGGGAUGUCAGCAUGCAAUAAGCCUACUGCACGUGUAGAAUCAGUGCCAUGAAGGAUGGUGCAGGCCGGCAAGUUGCUACAGUAGCCUAGCAUGGAGUAGCAGAUGUGGAUCAGAUCUGGCUGACUUGUUCGCAGGCUAAAUUUCUCACCAGUCAUCCUCUGUAAUAAUUACCUCCCAGAGAGCAAUUACAAAGAACUAAUAAUGUUUUUAAAAGCACCAUUAUAACUAGCGACAUUACAGUCAGUCACCUCAGGCUGAGAAGGACUCGGUAGAACAGUGUUGGAUUUGUCCAUGUCUUGCUAAAUUAAUCUACCAUAACUGGGGAGACUUUAUACUGCAUUUUUAAAGCUGGAAUCCUUAAUGGUGAAACUACCACGUCCGAUAUUACAACAGCAGAGAAGUUACUGCAAACAACGAACACAGUUUUUUUCUGCUUUUCUGCUUCGUGCAUCAUUGCACGCAAGAUUAAACAUAAGUAUAUCCCACUGGACACGUACGUUAAUUCAACGUCUAUUUCACGUUGGUUCCAGAUAAUUCCCUUUAAAUGACUUGGAAACAACGUUGAUUCAACCAGUGUGUGACCAGUGGGAUGUAAGCCACCACUGCUUCGUCAACGAAAACAUUUCAGGGCCAUGCCGCUGUCUCAGGUGCUGCCCAGAUUCAAAACAUUUCAGGGCCAUGCCGCUGUCUCAGGUGCUGCCCAGAUUCGAAACAUUUCAGGGCCAUGCCGCUGUCCACUAACGCCUACAAACUCAGACAUUGACAGCUCAACAGUGCUGAAAUAGUUCGAGCCCCAGAGAACAUCAAUGAUUUUAAACUAGUUUAAGUGCAAGUGAUUAUAAUUUAUUGCACAUGUUAGUUUUGCUGAUUUGCAGCAUCAGAAUUAUCGCUAAUGGGUUGCAGCGAGUUACGUUUUUGAGCAUUUUUAAAAAUGUAUUUAUUUAUUUCACCUUUAUUUAACCAGGUAGGCAAGUUGAGAACAAGUUCUCAUUUACAACUGCGACCUGGCCAAGAUAAAGCAAAGCAGUUCGACACAUACAACAACACAGAGUUACACAUGGAGUAAAACAAACAUACAGUCAAUAAUACAGUUGAAGAAAAUAUAUAUACAGUGUGUGCAAAUGAGGUAAGAAAAGUGAGGUAAGGCAAUAAAUAGGCCAUGGUGGCGAAGUAAUUACAAUAUACCAAUUAGACACUAGAGUGAUUGACGUGCAGAUGGUGAUGAUGAUGCCUAAGAAGAGGAUGAGGAUGCUUGAUGAACCAUAAAUGACUCGCUAUGAUCUGUUUUCUGAUAUUGUCGACAAAGCGUUUAGACAUUAGACCAUAUAAAUAUAGCAAAUCCAUUGGAUUUAUGCUAUAGAUUUAGGCCUAAUUGUGACAUAAUGUGUAUACGGUAUUUUACGAAUCCCUCUGCUUAAGCCUAUCAGAAACGAGUAUUCAACAAUGUCUUGGUAAAAUUCAAGGAUAACGUCCAUGUCACUUCAGUUGCGUCUGUUGACGUUUCACCCAUGUGCUUUUAAAGGGACUAUCAGUAUUACCUCCAAAUAGCCUGCUACAAUAGGCUACACACCCAUGUCUGACGAUACCACGGUAUGGUUAAUUAUGCAUACUUUGAGUUUCGAGGAGAAAUCACUAUCAUUAUUUUAGGUCACUCACUACCAAAGCAAUACUGUAUGUCUCACUGGUUUGACCCAUGGACAGAAAGUUGACUACCACUGCCGUUUUGAGUAAAAUACCAGCAAAUAAGUUGUUUCAUAAAGUCACAAAAGAAGACUGAUAUUGCCCUCUCAUUUAUCCACCAGAGCAUGAAAUGGGAGUAUACCCCUGACUAUCAAAAGGAAGUUGGGGAGGAUAUGAAGGAUGAAACAGAGACUCAUGAGACCAAAUACAACAGGACAGGAAGCAAGGCUUAACGUAAGUCCAGUGGAGGUGGCAAGAAGAAUUCGGUGAAGGAGGACAGCAGCAUUUGUGCAGGGUCUUCUAAUGCACCCAGGUGUAGUUUCCAGGACAGGGAAUCUAACAUUGAGCAGCUGGAGAAGGAGCCUCAGAGGACUCUAAUGCCUUCUCUCAAUAUUGGGACAAGCUGUGCCCCAGUCCUCCUCCUUCCUGAGUAGUCUAACUAAUGAAACAAAAUGUCUCCUAUACUUAAUGGCUUAAUCAUUGGAUAGUGAUUCAGCAUGGCAUGAAGAAUAACCUGACGUUUGAGCAGCUCUCCAUGAUGUGUCUGAAGAUUGUUAAGGUCGUGACCCAGAUGGCCCUCCGCAUUCUGCUACCAGUGCUGGCUCGUAUCAUGGGGGUGAACCUGAGGAGUGGGACGACCUCCCCAGAAUCCCAGUGCUCUCUGACAGGGUCUAAGGACUCCUUGGACAGUCUGGAUGAGCGGGAGAAAAGGCUGCUGAUCAGUGAGAUGAACUACUGGACCAAGGAAAGGAGGAAUGGCAGGGCAGGGUGCCACGAAAAAUAUGUUGGCAGAACCAAACCACCAUGCUACUCCCCUAAGAGGCCGGUGGUAGCUGGUCCCUGCAGGAAGGUAAGGUGCCGGAGGUCCCUCCACUCCCUCUGGACAUCGGGGGGUCCCCGGCGUACACCAUACGGGCCAUUCUGGACUCAAGACGCCGGGGUCAUUGUUCCUUGUCCAGAUCUGGAAAAGGGUCCAAGGUCAAAGUGUGAGCUAGAGAUCAACCUCCCUGGUACUCCCAUCCCUGAUGAGGUGCCUGAUGAUUUGACCUUCCCCAUCGCCAGGAGCUCCUGCAUCGACAUCAGGGACUCUAUAAUGCAAGGGAUUUCUACGAGUGACCUAAGGACAAAGAUGAUGACACACACAGAUGAAGCCCUGCAUCGUAAUAGUCCAAGGACUGACAGUAACCGACAAUCGAGUGCCAAAGCCUCUCUUCGAUUCUUCACUCCCUCUUGCACCAGCAAGGGAACAUCCUUGGUAACAAAGGGAGUUGGGAUUGACAUGGAAGAGAAAGAGGGGUGCUACCCUAGCAGCUCUGGCCAUCUGAGGGAGUUAUUCAUCACUUCAGACAUCAGCAGUGCUACUGCAUUCCCUCUGCAGUCCUUGAUGGACUCCAGCAAAGAGGAUUUUAUCUGUUUGGUCACAAUACUGGUGAUAAGGUUGCUACCGAAGAUCGGUCCCUCAGCCCUAGAUGGACCUUCCCAACAGGCAGUAGACAUGACAGCAAUAUUUCAGCAGCUCAUCAGACAAGUUCUGUCUGAGUUCUGUGUUGCAUCUGGAUUCUCAAGGACACAGGCGCACCCUCAGGACCUGCACAUCCACACGGUGUUCAGAGGUGUACAUAAAAACCUCCUGGAUGCGUUUGGCUCUUAUAACGCCCUCCAAGCCACUCUGGCCUCCCAGGAUUCUGAAUUUGACAGAGUCCUGGUAAAAUCAUUGCCCAGCAGCUGGUGCAGGGAUCAAGGAGCCAUCAAGACCAGCAUCUACCGCCACAAACCCAGCAGACCAGGCUGAGACAGAGAGUGGGAAUGAGCAGAAAGCAAGAAGGAGCUUCCUUUGCUUCUCAAUGACCAAACUCAGGAUCAACAAUAAGCGUUCCAAGAGAGGAAACAAAAUGACUGCCAUUCAGUCCAGGACCAGACUGAGAUUCCCUCUACUGCAUAGCCCCCCACAUUGGGGAUCAUGGUGCUGAAUCUCCAGUUGGAGAGGUUUCUCGGUUCAUCUCUCAGCCUAUCAACAAGACCCUGAUUAUCGCUCCUUGAUAAUCAGGCUCUUUUCAGCAAUGAUGAAGCCGUUCGAGCGCUCCUCCUGAAAGAACCUGUUACUCUGUAUGAAGAAAUACUUUUGACAAGAGGGAUAUGCAUGUCUACCCUUUAAAGUCUGCUUGAUCAAAUAAAUGCAAACUAUUUUACAAGGGUUUUACAUGUUUUGGAUGAUUGCUAGCACUGAAGAAGCUUUUCUCACAUACUCUCUGGUCAGAUAGUGGAAGAGAACUGCGUUAGUUCCCCUGUGGUUACACAUCAUUUUG
rnacentral:lncRNA from 1 species